GGAAAAUCUGCUGUGGCAGCUGUAUGGCAGUGUGCUGAGAAAAUGGAAGGCCUGGCUUGGGAAAAAGACUUCUUAUCUCUUCCUCUUUGCAGAAAAUAAAUCCAUCAGCACAGUAGGAAUAAGAUUUACAACUGGCAGCAUCACUGAGUAACUGGAAUCCAGAACAAGGACAAGCCCCAUUCCUCCAGUAAGCCCCAGAAACAGGUUCAAGGUUCACUUGUGUCUGUGGAGCCAGGCUCCUGCUGGUGGCCUGAGAACCAGCCUGAUUUCCAGUCAGAGCAGCACAGGAUGUGAUUAAGGAGCAGCAUUGCUCAUUGCUCACCCUCACACAGCUGGCAUAGAA
rnacentral:lncRNA from 1 species